GUUUAAUGGGAGCUAAUUCCACUCCCAAACGCAACAGCUUGCAUACUGUCCAGCUUUGUUUCUUGUUUAAAAAUUCAAUUUGAUGUGGAUUUUUUGGAAGGUUAAAUACUCAUCUAAUCCCAAAUCAGAUAGCCACUAAUGAACAUUGCCUCAAAAGCCCUGCGAACAGCAAUGCCCAAAUAUGAGUAUAGAGAGAUAUAUUUUCGUGGAACUUCAGAAAACGAAGACCAAGUUGAAAUGAAAUGUAGUGUCGAGUGGGAAUGGAAUUUGUACUCCAAGUGCAGAUUCAAUCUAUCUUGAGUCGAUUUCCAAACGUUUCCAAAAGUUCAGAGGAGCGUGCCGUUACAAGUGCAGAUUCAAUCCAUUUUUACGAAUAAAUGUCCAGAUUCAACUCACAACGUGGCCUAACGGCACUCAAAUUACAAUGGCCGUUGCAAAAAGCAGAUCGUGUGACCGUUGAAAAAGCAGGAUUUCACUUCUUUUAAAAGGAGAUAUACUAGAGAUGCAGGGCAGAUUGUAUUGAAAAAGCAGGAUUUCACUUCUUUUAAAAGGAGAUAUACUAGAGAUGCAGGGCAGAUUGUAUUGUUGUUUCAUAACUUUCAUUAAUUUUUUUCUUUUCUUUUUUGUUUAAUUUUUUUUGGUGUGGCCAUGCCUCUGAGUUUUGCUUUUCUGAGUUUUAGUUUGAAACUUUUACUUUUUGUACUCAGAUGUUUUCAUUUGCUUUCUGGGUUCGAAUUGCAAUACUUUUUGGUAUUUCGUGUAUUUUUUCUGUGGGUUGUCAUUUUUAAUGGGCAUAGAGCAUAGAGGUAGGCAGCAGCAAGAACUCUACGUUCUGGAGUGGGUGAUUGGAGAUAUGGCCAGAAAAUGAAUAGCUGCGGAAGAUUUGUCAGGAGCGCUUUUCGGCAGACGUUUUCGGAAGAUUUGUCAGGAUUAGUAAUUUAAUGUUUCAGGUUUUUUUCAUCAUUUGCAAACUUUUUUCGGUUUUUUUGGUUAGUUUGUUUUCUGAGAAAAGGGUUUAGAAAUUACAAGAACACAUGUUAAGACUUAAGUUACCUUUCAGAAUAACAGCAUUGAGAUUUUAGAGCAAA